GUAUGCGUUAUGAAUGUUAUGACAUAUUUUAUCACACAUAAAUUUAAAACAACCUCUAUGUUUUCAAAUAAAAAUUAUAUUCGCUUUGCUGAGAUAAUCUGGUAACUUCUGUGUUUUGACUAAAACUUUGUUACUCUAACAACGAAUAAAAGUACAUCGUCCGUCAGCGAAAAUACUCCUUAUAUGCUUCGCAAAAAGUCUAUUAUUCUUUAAUCACGUGUUUUCCCGGUACUAGUAUAACAGUGAGGUAAAACAGUAUUUCUUGAACAUGUUGUUAAUUCGUUAACAGUGUAAACAUGUGUAAAGCAACAGCGUACGCUAGUGUGACGUAACGAGUACCUAGGUACACGGAUAUGUGCUUGUGUGGGUAUGCGUAGCUACUGCAAAUGCGUGUUACCUAUACGGAGUAACUGAGUAUGGUCACAACAUACAGAUUACAGUGAUAUGUGGCAAAUGUGUAAAUUUUAAUGGACAUAUGAUAAAUUAGGGUGUUGAUGAUCCUAAUAGAGAGAUAGAAUAGAUUGGGUGCUGAUAAAUUUGGGUGUCCUAUAGACUUUAAAUCGUAUUUAAGGGGAAAAUAGAUGAAGGCACUAGACCCUAUUCAUAGAGUUCUGUUCCUUCCGGUAAGUAAAGUUGCCAGAGCUCAACGAGGGUGCGGAGUUUUAGAGUCGGCAACGUGCAUGUAACUCCUCUGGAUUUGCAGGUUACGGAGACUGCUUACCAUCAGGCAGGCCGUAUGCUUAUUUGCCACCGACUAAGUAUAUAAAGGAGUCAGAUUUUGGUAGAGCCACUUGAAUUUGAUCUUGUAUUAGUUGAAUAUUUGUUUAGCCAAGUAUAAUUCUCGAGCCAGAAUGUAAAAAGGACAAUAGCGGCAGAUAAGCCGCAAGCGGUUUCCGGUCGCUAUUUUUAAAUGUAAGUAUCUAAAGUAGUAUUUCAGUGUUUUUGGAUAUAUAAAAAAUACCUUUCUAUUUUUAACCGUCUGCCCUCAACUGUGUGCUACAGUUGAGGGCAAUGUAUCUUCAAAAAUUAAACGUAUACCAUUUUUUGGUUUUAUGUAAAAUUUUAAUUUCAAAAUUAAACCCAGUUUGAGGGUGGUAUUAAUUUACUGUUCUCCCCUCCCUACUGCGACACGUUACCGCAGAACGCAACAUAAUAGAGAAUCGUGUGUAAUUUGCGAUGCGACUCGCAUUACAUUCGAGUAUGCACAAAGCGAUGCGACUGCAUCUAAGAUUCACUUUUGAUCCGCUUGAAACUGGAUUUGGGUUGUCAGAACAGACGUAUUCGUUGCAGCAAUGUUAGUCCGUAUUCUAGCUUAUCUAUGAGAAAUAAUAUAAAAGGCUUGAUUACUUUACUACGGACCGAUGGAAGGAGAUAGAGAGAGAAACAGACAGAGUGGCUCGUGUUGGCUACGUGCGCAAUGCAUGGUGGAGGUAUAUUAUAGCGAUUGCAGCGCAUGCGGUGCUCAAAUUUGGCACUAACAAAGCAACCUCAUCUGGCAAAAAACAGCACAGAGACACAGCUGAGAAACAUCAAAAAUACGACAGAGCAACAAAGGACCUACGAGCCUCCUUUACGCCACUAGUCAUCUCAUGCGAUGGAGCUGUACGGACUCAAUGCAAUAGUUUCUUAAAAACAGCAUCAAAGUUAAAUGGUUAAUGGGGAAAAGCGUAUUCACAAAUUAUUUUCUGGCUGAAAGUUAAAGUCCAAAUUUCCAUAAUAAGAGCUGUCUCCAUAAGAGUCAGACGCUCAAGACAACACAUUAAAGCUUUUGAGUGCGAAGAUGAUGCAGGAAUCAUACCUAUAUACUGAAAGUCCCCCAAGACCCCUGUCUUCUACUACCUCUUCACAUCACUACUGAAGGCAGCAGUAUUUUUUAUUUACUCUUUACCGUCUCGAUGUGUAUGUUUAUUGUGUCUUACGUUAUCUGAAUAAAAUGAUCUCUCAUUGGCUGUGUCAAUUCUUAAGAGGA